UAGAAAGUAGUAUAGCGGUAGUACGUGGGGUUUUGGAUCCCAGGGGUGUAGGUUCGAGGCCUGAGUUUCUAA
rnacentral:tRNA from 1 species